rnacentral:rRNA from 1 species
UGGGGAAUAUUGCACAAUGGGCGCAAGCCUGAUGCAGCCAUGCCGCGUGUAUGAAGAAGGCCUUCGGGUUGUAAAGUACUUUCAGUCGGGAGGAAGGUGUCAAGGUUAAUAACCUUAUCAAUUGACGUUACCGGCAGAAGAAGCACCGGCUAACUCCGUGCCAGCAGCCGCGGUAAUACGGAGGGUGCAAGCGUUAAUCGGAAUUACUGGGCGUAAAGCGCACGCAGGCGGUUGAUUGAGUCAGAUGUGAAAUCCCCGGGCUUAACCCGGGAAUUGCAUCUGAUACUGGUCAGCUAGAGUCUUGUAGAGGGGGGUAGAAUUCCAUGUGUAGCGGUGAAAUGCGUAGAGAUGUGGGGGAAUACCGGUGGCGAAGGCGGCCCCCUGGACAAAGACUGACGCUCAGGUGCGAAAGCGUGGGGAGCAAACAGG